ensembl:lncRNA
CAGUGCCUUUGCAAAGAUUUAAGUGCGGUGGGGGGCGUUCCCUUAGAGACCGUGACAUCACACCCUACCUUCCCAGGGUGAGAAGGCGAGCUCUCACAGAUUGCACCUCUCUACUCAUUUUCCUGGAUUCAGGAUCCACAGACCUGUGUACAACACGUAAAGGGGACAACAAAGCGAGAGGUGCCCGGGUGCUUUUCCUUGCAAACCUGCGAGGAGCCGGUCACUCUUGUCUGACUGCUACAGCAGCUCACAAGGCUCAUAUCAGCUCAUCACCCUGUCCAGGUGCCUCUUGAAUCCGUCCACCUUGCUGCAUAUCUUUGCUGGUGACUGUGCGUCAACAUCUAUAAUAUUUCAGAUCAGACGUUCCCUUUGCCUCUCUCCUGGCUCACCCAUACUCCAUCUCCACUCCUAUUGCAAAGCGUGUGGUUCUUAGCUCCCUGACCAGGGAUUGAACCUGUGCUACCUACAUUGGAAGGCAAAGUCUGAACCACUGGACCACCAGAGAAGUCCCUAAACUUGCAGUCUUUUAAAGGGAAUGCUUCAGUGGUCUCUUCUGUCCUUAAGGCAAAACCUGAAGUCCUCAGAGGAGCUUGUUUCUUAACCUCCUAUUUUAUCUAGAAAAAAAAAAUGCAGGGGCAUGUUUAAUUUUACCUCACAGUUUACAAAUGCUACUAUAAAUAACACACAUUAAAAUUAAAGCACAUGAAAUUUUAAAUAAAUUUAAAAAUUAAAAACAUAAAUUGUACAUAAUGAAUACAUACAUUUAAAAAUUAAAAUCAUAAAUUAAACUUGGUUUCCCAACCCUUUGAAAUCUCUGAGUAAAACUGAUGCAUCAGCAAAGCACUUCAUGUGUCCAAUGGUUUGGCAAGCACUCCAGGGAACUCACAUCCCAGUUCUAGAGUAUAAAGACACAGUGGCUUCAAUACCUUUCUUCUGAGGGAGGCUUGAAAGCCCAUUCACACACGCACAGGGACUGGGUUUCUUUUCCCCUGGCUUAAAAUCUGUUUCUCUUGAAACUCUAGAGGAGUUCUGAGAAGUCUGAAAGAUUCUUACAUACUUCCUUCCCUUCCAGGGGGCUGUAAAAGUGAGGGCUUCCUACAUUUAAAAGAACUAAUUGAAACAAGGAGGGUGCACCAGUUUGAUCCCUGGUCUGGAAAGAUCCCACAUGCCAUGAGCCACAGCUACAGAAGCCCGCGUCGCCUAGAGCCCACACACCACACCUAGAGGAGCCACCGCGUGGGAAGGCCGUGCACUGCAGCUAGAGAAAGCCUGCCCGGCAACCAGGACCCAGGCAGACAAAAAAUUCUCCAGUUGCGUCCCGUGACUUUCCUGCUGACCUCCUGAUUCCCUACUGUGACCUGCAAGACGCACCCUCACCCUACUCCCUACUCCCGUUCUGGCCUGACCCUGACCUCACCUGGAAUCCACCUGCUCGCCCAGCACGGCCUCAUGUCGGCCUUCCCGGCCUUUCAAGCUCUCCUCCAGCUGCGGGGCGAGCUGUCCCCUCUGCCUAGGGUGUCCCCCACCUCUGUCUGCACAGGCGGCUCCUUCACGUCAUCCGUGCUCCUCUUCAAAGGCCACUGCCCACAGAACACUUCCUUCUAGACAGACACUUAUGUAUUGACUUAUCUAAGUUGACGUCUGGUUUUGCUUUCUGUUCGUUGAAUGUAAUACUUUCAGAACAUCUCUCAUUUUACUACACUCUUCUAUUAUAUGUCUCCUCCCACCAGCACAUAGACUCAUACUUUUCUCCCCAUGCUUAGAACACUGUGUUGCAUAAAACAGGCGCGCAUAUAUUUGCUGAAUGAAUGAAUGCAUAAAUAACUAUAAAUAUAAUAAAGUAUAAAAAUAGUUUAUUUGAGGGGAAUCACCUAAGUUUAUCAAUAAAAAAAUUAUUAAAGUCGUUCCAUAGUGAAGACAAUAGAGAAACUAUUGUAUAGCUAAAAGCUAAAGUCACUGUACUGAUUAACUAAAAUAUAUUGCUAUUGAAUGUUCAGUGAACUAUCUACGAUUCUAAUGUGUCUGAAAUUAGUAGUGAUUAUGGUUCCAAGUUUGAGCCCCAGUGUUCUAAGUAUAGUGUAAGAUAACCAUGAAGUAUAUUCAUUUACACAGGAAUUUGUUGAGAAAACAAAAUUGAAUAAAAUGCCCAAAUGUGACAGUGAUAAAUGUAAAAUAAAGACUAAUCAAUGAGCUUGUGAUUAUAUGUUCGCUCCUUCUUUCUAAGUUGUAAGCAUGUGCUUUUAUAAUUGUUCAAGGCCAGUCAUGUAAAGUAACAAAAAGUAUAUCUAUAUUUUUGUCACUUAAAGAUAUUUCUUGGCACAUUAAAAAUGUCAAUUUCUAUUUCAACUUACUGAAGAAAAAUCUAUGAAGGAAUGAAAGUUAUAGAUGGCAGAAUCGAAUCUUCUAAAUUGCAUUGUUAUUAAAUAAGCCCAGAAUACACACCAUAUU